CUCUUCUAUAAAUACGAUUUCUGUUUAUCCAACAUAUGCCAAUCAAGCUGGAAUUAUUUAAUGGUGGAUUGGAAUAAUAACAGCCCCCAUAUAUGUAUACUCCUAACCAAGCCCCAAAGUUUUAUGAGAAUACCGACAGAUACCUACUCCAGCUUGCUCCUGUUUGUGUAAAG